rnacentral:rRNA from 1 species
CUGAAAUCAACCAAGAUUACCCGCUGAACUUAAGCAUAUCAAUAAGCGGA